rnacentral:rRNA from 1 species
CCUACGGGGGGCUGCAGUGGGGAAUAUUGGGCAAUGGGCGCAAGCCUGACCCAGCAACGCCGCGUGAAGGAAGAAGGCUUUCGGGUUGUUAACUUCUUUUCUCAGGGACGAAGAAAGUGACGGUACCUGAGGAUUAAGCCUCGGCUAACUACGUGCCAGCAGCCGCGGCAAUACGUAGGUGGCAAGCGUUAUCCGGAUUUAUUGGGUGUACAGGGUGUGUAGGCGGGAGCGCAAGUUAGAUGUGAAAACUCAGGGCUCAACCCUGGGCCUGCAUUUGAAACUGUGUUUCUUGAGUGCUGGAGAGGCAAUCGGAAUGCGGGGUGUAGCGGUGAAAUGCGUAGAUAUACGGAGGAACACCAGUGGCGAAGGCAGAUUGCUGGACAGUAACUGACGCUGAGGCGCGAAAGCGUGGGGAGCGAACAGGAUUAGAUACCCGAGUAGUC